ensembl:snRNA U4 U4 spliceosomal RNA
AGCUGUGCACAGUGGUAGUCUUGUAGCCAAGGAGGUUUAUCUGAAGUGCAAUUACUUUUAAUUGAAAACUUCUCCCAAUACUCUGCCAUGACUAUUUGAAAUAAAGUUGGCAUUGGCAAACUUUGAUAGUCUCUAUGGAGA